AGAGUUUGAUCAUGGCUCAGGAUGAACGCUGGCGGCGUGCCUAAUACAUGCAAGUCGAGCGAACAGACGAGGAGCUUGCUCCUCUGACGUUAGCGGCGGACGGGUGAGUAACACGUGGAUAACCUACCUAUAAGACUGGGAUAACUUCGGGAAACCGGAGCUAAUACCGGAUAAUAUAUUGAACCGCAUGGUUCAAUAGUGAAAGACGGUUUUGCUGUCACUUAUAGAUGGAUCCGCGCCGCAUUAGCUAGUUGGUAAGGUAACGGCUUACCAAGGCAACGAUGCGUAGCCGACCUGAGAGGGUGAUCGGCCACACUGGAACUGAGACACGGUCCAGACUCCUACGGGAGGCAGCAGUAGGGAAUCUUCCGCAAUGGGCGAAAGCCUGACGGAGCAACGCCGCGUGAGUGAUGAAGGUCUUCGGAUCGUAAAACUCUGUUAUUAGGGAAGAACAAAUGUGUAAGUAACUAUGCACGUCUUGACGGUACCUAAUCAGAAAGCCACGGCUAACUACGUGCCAGCAGCCGCGGUAAUACGUAGGUGGCAAGCGUUAUCCGGAAUUAUUGGGCGUAAAGCGCGCGUAGGCGGUUUUUUAAGUCUGAUGUGAAAGCCCACGGCUCAACCGUGGAGGGUCAUUGGAAACUGGAAAACUUGAGUGCAAGAAAAGGAAAGUGGAAUUCCAUGUGUAGCGGUGAAAUGCGCAGAGAUAUGGAGGAACACCAGUGGCGAAGGCGACUUUCUGGUCUGUAACUGACGCUGAUGUGCGAAAGCGUGGGGAUCAAACAGGAUUAGAUACCCUGGUAGUCCACGCCGUAAACGAUGAGUGCUAAGUGUUAGGGGGUUUCCGCCCCUUAGUGCUGCAGCUAACGCAUUAAGCACUCCGCCUGGGGAGUACGACCGCAAGGUUGAAACUCAAAGGAAUUGACGGGGGCCCGCACAAG
rnacentral:rRNA from 1 species